CCUAUGUUGCUUGGACCCAUCAAAAAUGUCGUCAGGUGUGUGUUGGAUCCUCCAAAUGUAGUAUAUUUUUUGAGGAUCCAACACGGGUGCGACAACAUUUUUAGAGAGUCUGAGCAAGAUAAAGUUCUUUACAUGUUUGUCAUGUUAACAAUUUAUAUAUUUUUUGAACUAGAUUGUGUAGUAAAAUCUCGAGUUUAUGAAACAAGUUGGGAAUCCAAAUUUUGUGUUUGAAGGCAAAACUAUACAAAGAAUGGAACUUUUGGUACUAACCACAUUGAAGUGGAGAAUGCUAGCUUAUACACCUUGCACAUACAUCGAUUACUUUGUAAGAAAGAUGAAUGACGAUCAAUCCCAUCAGAAUGUUUUGUGAUUAAUCCAAUUCAUGAUUAUUGAAUCCUGCAAUAGUAUCACCAUCACAUGAGGAGGAGGUGUGGCGCCACUUAUAGCACUUGGACGAACUAAUGAUGAGUUGUCCUACACUCAUCUAGGUUCAGUGCAAUAGCUUGCUCUUAUGAAACUUAUAAAGCUAAAUUGUUGCGCACGGGCAAUGAAUCAUCUAGUACCUCAAGAUGAGUUAGCACAGGCAGGGCUCUCCGAUGAAGACAUUUUUGCUGGAAGAGUGACUGAUGAGUGGAGGAUUUUUAUGAAGAAGCAAAUUCAGAGGGCAAGGAAAUUCUUUUAUGAGGCAGAAAAAGGUGUCAUAGAACUGAG